rnacentral:lncRNA from 1 species
GUAUUGCCCAGCAGGGAGAGCAGCAGCUUCCCGCUCCACCUCCAAAGCCUCAGUAGUAGACAUCCCUGGAUAGCCUCAAGGCUACACAGACCAGUGACUUUCUGCACGCUUUCCCCAGAAAGCGGUCCAGGAGCCCGUGACCCUGCAGCCAAGCCUGUGCGAUGAGGUCUCUCUAGGGUGUGGUGCUCCAAUGCUCCGACCCAGCAGAGGGCGGGGCGGGGCGGUUCUCUAGUCUUCUGGCUCUAAGCCGCGCCAGAUGCCACGCCACAGCUUUUCCUCGGCCACCUGUCCGCCAGCCGCCGUGCGAACCGGACUCGGCCCUCUUCCCGUCCUCGGUUCCCCUGACCCUGGUGACUGAAGCGAAGUUUCCCAAAUCAGCAGCUCUGGCCAUGACGGAGCCACGGUGGCAGCCUUCAAUUCGGAAACAGAAAGUCAGCGUUAACUGUGACCACAGGCUAACGCUACCCCAAAGGCACCAGCGACCAUGUCCCAAUCCUCACAUGAUGCGGGCAAGGAGGAUCAGGGAGAGCCGCGGAAAGACUUUACGGUGGAUGACUUAAGUCAAGGUAACUUUACCAAGAUCCACAGAAGCCACAUAUUUCAACAUAUCCGGGGAGACCAAGAAGCUGCAACGUAUAAAGGCUUUAGCCCCGUUGUGUUUGGUGUCCCAGCCUUUGGGAGGGAGCCUUCUGGUGGCCUGGGUGGCAGCACAACAGACCUCAUCCCGGUGCCCCACCUCCUCCUCUGUCCAGGUGUCUGUAACAACAGCAGCUCUACCUGUCAGGGUUCAAGAACUGCUGAAGAAGGAUACCCCAGAUGCAAGCAGUAUGCAAAAGCAAAGAGCGUUUCUUCAGCUGAAUUUCCUGCUUGCUGGGGUCUGUCUCCCCCGUUUGGGAAUGGAGACCCCUGGUGAAAUCAGGGGCUCAUCUUUUAUUGUCAGUUAGGGGAAUUCCAGGGAGGGGUUUGCGCCCUCUUACCUUGAUUGGUCAGCUCUAUCUCGGGGGUCUGACUGAUUCUAUAAUCAAGCUCUGAAGACUUCCCAGGGGUGGCUUGCUCAUUCUAGCUACCUAUUCUUACUUCAGGCCAGAUGAUGAGGUGUCCUCGGACUGGCUGCCCGCGGCUCUGGUUGGCUGACCACAGGUUCCUGGAUCCUGGCUCUCAUUUCUGGGAAACAGAAACUUAGGCCUAGUCUCCCAAACGGCCAGUUUGCAGCUGUCAUGGAGUCAGUCUGGCUCUCCUGACCUGGUGUUCCCAUUUCCCCUUCUGAUUUGCAACUGGAUCAAAUCAUUGAUUUGUCAGGGUUUUUUUUCCCUCCAAUCUUUUUCUUCCCACCUUGUCACUUGUCAGGGGCAGAAGUCGUUAUUAUUGAGAACAGUUACUGCCAAGCAAGUUUUCAUAUGGGAACAGUAAAAAGCCACAUCUGAAACCUGUCUAUACCUUAAUUUGAUGGCUAUUAGUAAAGCAAGCCUGUCUGCCGUUUUCGAAACAAGAAACCUAGCAGUUUAACCCGAUAAGUUAACCAAUGAACUAACGUCGUGGUGGAUUGUUUUGACAUAAGGAGCUAGUUGCCUGUAUGUCACUGCCCAGACAGUUGCUUGGGGCUCCUGCGUCUCUAUGGCACCGAGGGCAGAGGCAGCCUUUGGCCAUCAGCCCCAGAAGACGAAGAGGCUUUUCCUGCAGAGGAGGAACAUGGGAGACUGGCCUAUCCUUGUCUACAGCACCGUGUGGCGAUCAGUUCUGCCCUCCAUCCACAGCUCAGGCCAGGUCUUGGCAGCAGCAGGCAAGACAUCAGGACAGUUAUGCCCAGUGGUUAUCAUACCACCAUCCAGGUGGUGUCCUCUGCCAUUGUGCCCACCAAUUUUCAGAGACCUCGGUGAGUCGCCGGUGGGAUUUGGGAGUCUCUGUCCGUCACGGUAAGUUUAAACAUGUUCAAUGCUACAUUCCGUAGACCUCUAACAGGCUUGAUGGAUAGCCAGUAUUGACCUACCUCGUAGGUAUCUGAGCGAAACAAGUUGUCUGUUACCUUGCAAACAUAAAGCAGGAGACUAAAUAAAGCUUUAAUUUAUGAUGAACCUCA